AUAUUAACAUAAAAACAACCCUGUGUGUGACAAACAUUUGUUUAUGCAGUUCUGUCUCAAAAUGUGGCUCUAGGAAAUGUUGUGGAAUUUCUCCAGUCAAAGGAUGCCAGGAUUAACCUGCAAGCUACAGAAGUGAACCUGGAAACCAAUGAAGUGGGGGCAACUUGCGAUGAGGGCCAUGAGGGCCACCACAGCAACGUGACGUGGGACGAGGGCGGCCACCACCACAGCAACGUGACGUGGGACGAGGGCGGCCACCACCACAGCAACGUGACGUGGGACGA